rnacentral:rRNA from 1 species
CAAUAGCGUAUAUUAAAGUUGUUGCAGUUAAAAAGCUCGUAGUUGGAGUUCAGAUUGAGCUCGGCCGGUCGGCCUAAUUGGUCAGAACUGGUUGACUCUGUCUUGUUUGUGGAUCCCUCCGGAGUUAACUCUUCGGAUGUGGAGUCCACAUCGUUUACCUUGAAAAAUUAGAGUGUUCAAAGCAGGCGUUUGCUUGAAUAUAUUAGCAUGGAAUAAUGGAAUAGGACGCUGGUUCUAUUUUGUUGGUUUUGAGAACCAGAGUAAUGAUUAAUAGGGACAGUUGGGGGCAUUAGUAUUUAAUUGUCAGAGGUGGAAUUCUCAGAUUUGUUAAAGACUAACUUAUGCGAAAGCAUUUGCCAAGGAUGUUUUCAUUAAUCAAGAACGAAAGUUAGGGGAUCAAAGACGAUUAGAUACCGU